rnacentral:rRNA from 1 species
AUUGAACGCUGGCGGCAUGCCUUACACAUGCAAGUCGAACGGUAACGCGGGGCAACCUGGCGACGAGUGGCGAACGGGUGAGUAAUGUAUCGGAACGUGCCCAGUUGUGGGGGAUAACUGCUCGAAAGAGCAGCUAAUACCGCAUACGACCUGAGGGUGAAAGCGGGGGAUCGCAAGACCUCGCGCAAUUGGAGCGGCCGAUAUCAGAUGAGGUAGUUGGGGAGGUAAAGGCUCACCAAGCCGACGAUCUGUAGCUGGUCUGAGAGGACGACCAGCCACACUGGGACUGAGACACGGCCCAGACUCCUACGGGAGGCAGCAGUGGGGAAUUUUGGACAAUGGACGCAAAUCUGAUCCAGCCAUGCCGCGUGCGGGAAGAAGGCCUUCGGGUUGUAAACCGCUUUUGUCAGGGAAGAAACGCUCUGGGUUAAUACCUCGGGGUAAUGACGGUACCUGAAGAAUAAGCACCGGCUAACUACGUGCCAGCCGCCGCGGUAACAC